rnacentral:lncRNA from 1 species
UUUGUAUUUUUCCUAGAGACGGGGUUUCACCAUGUUGGCCAGGCUGGUCUCGAGUCCACUGCGUUUGAUAACAUUUCAUAAGCCUCAAACGCGAUCAUAUCUUGAGCGAUUAUGCUGACAUGUACGUCGGUUGCCUGUAGCCAGACGUGUUGGCAUGUGACUGUAAUCCCAGAUACUCGGGAGGCUGAGGCAGAAGAAUUGCUUGAACCCAGGACUCCUGACCUCGUGAUCCACCCGCCUCAACCUCCCAAAGUGUUGGGAUUACAGGUGUGAGCCACUACGCCCAGUCAAAUCUUUUUAUUUUUGGUAGAGACAGUGUUUCACCAUGUUGGCCAGGAUGGUCUCGAACUCCUGACCUCAAGUGAUCCGCCCGCUUCAGCCUCCCAAAGUGCUGGGAUUACAGGUGUGAGCCACCAUGCCUGGCAACUUUCUUUUAUCUUAAGCUCAAACUGAAACAAUAAAAUGCACAUUUUCUGCAGCAUGUACUGGGGGCCCCUGAGCUCUAGAAGGGAGAAGCUGUACAGUUCUUGUGUUGGCUAAAUGUUAUUAGCAGAGGGCCACGUCGUGGGUUCAUGUUGCCUUACCAGCAUCAGAUGAUUUUCGGCAGCUCAUAAAGUCUCUCUGUGACAUCA